ACUUAGGUCUGAAUGUGACGCUGGUCCUGUCCUCAAGGUCUCAUAGAGUCGGGUAGAGGUCACCCCUCAAACACAACCGCAAAGCACGUAGCCCUAGAGUUCAUCACACAAGGGGCAGCCAAAGGGAAAAACAGCCAGUGUUUAAGGAGUGUUUGUAAGGCAGUGACGUUAAGCGAGGCGCUGCGUGUGUGUCACCCUCGGCUCUUGCGGUAGGGGCUUAUAUGUCAGUCCUUGGUUUGCCCGUGAGCGGUUCUUGGCGAUUGCUUGUUACAGGGUCAACCAGUGUCAUUCAGCCCAGGUGUGUCCAAUAGCGCAGGCCAAGCCCUUAUCUGAUUGAGACCAGCCCUUGAAGGAGGCAGACCACCUGAGAGCUCUCAGUGCUCCUGGCUGGUAUCUUUUUACUCUGCCCAGGACACCCAACUCCAGUGUCCCUUGGUCUCCCCAGCCCUACCCACUCUCUUCCCUGCUCUUUGCUCUCUGUUCCAUAUACUGUGAAAUAAUCUGUUGACCAAGCUGCUGGCCUUUCGGGGAGACUUUGUGCCCCGCAGAGCCUAGCACAGAGUCUAGCACAGAGUCAGCCUAAAAAUGGGCAAGGCCUUUGCUGGGCCUCUGGUUCCUCAUCUGGUCCCAGAUGAUCUAAGACCCUUGAGCUUGGAAAUCAGCAGGUUUGAAACGGCUUUUGGUCUUAACUGCACUUUAACUAUGGAGAACUCAGAAUAAAGAUCUAGUUUGCUCCCCAGGCCCUAAGCCCAUCAGAAUGCUGACUAAAUGAUUGUUAAGGUGCACCUGGGUUCCUCAUUAAAGCCGGACCAACCUGCAAAUGCUUAGAACCCAGUCAGCCACAGUGCUCUCCUUGCUGCGAUUGCCAGGGUGCCAGUCCUGCCGCCCAGUGCUUCCAUUUCAGAUGGGGAAACCAGGGCCUGACUAGAGGCCCCAAUUUAUUGGGGUGCUCUGUCCACAGCCUUCUGAGAGAGAAAGGGAGGUUUACAUGAAUUCUCAGCACUAUUUACUUUGGUGGAAAAUGUGAAACAACUCUCUGCCUCUCACUGGGAGCCGAUUGCUUACUGUCACUCUGGGACCUCUGCACAGCGAUGGAAGCCCGGGCCUCAGGGACGAGGCCAGCCUGGGAGGCAGAGUCCGGUCCAGACCCCUGGACGCCUGGCAGCGUGGUCCUAGGAGGAGGACCGUUUUUCUGCGUCUGACGCUCCGACAGCCAGCUCACGUUUCUAUUUCAGAAGGUGUUAAAGACCUGAAAGGAGCACCCGGCCCUCUUCUGGUGGGGCACUGACACGUGCCGGUGUCAUCCUUCCAACGGCUGAGGGGCAGGGCCUUCGCCAUGUCAGGGAGAAGGCCACAGAGGCUCGGAGGCUAAUCCAGCCCCCAUUGUGGAGGAAGAAGAGUCACACUUACCAAGUUUUGCUCACAGAGGCCCCGGAACUGCUGGAAUUUCUGCGACAUCAGUAGCUGGGCACUGCCCACAGCACUGAGGACUUUCCCUAAGACUGAGAGAGAAGGGGGAGAAAGGCUGAGCAGAGCACAAGGUCUGGUUUCACCUCCCUCCCCACCACCUCAGGACACCAGUCAUCAUGUGGUGAUGGCAGCCAGUCUUCAUUUUAUUUACACAGUAAUUAACCCACUAGUUGCUAAGGAUAUUUCAUGACAAUAAAUCGGAAAACUGAGUUUAAAUGGAAAAAAACUUUUCAGGGAAACAAAUUACUACUAUAGGCUCAACAGGAAAUAGAAAAUCUGAUUAGACCAAUAAUUGUUUAAAAUAACUGAAGCAGGAGUUAAAAAUCUUCUCUAGAAAAAGGAACCAGGCCUAUAUAGUUUUAUAGGUGAGGUUUUACAAAACCUUCAAGGAAAAGAUAACCCCUGUUAUAUAUAUUCAAAUUCUUCCUGAGAGUAAACAGACACAGAAGAUGACACAGCUAAUUUCAGGAGCCCUGAGAAAAGAUAGGGCACGACCAGAACGGGCCACUUGCAUUAGGAACACACAAGCCUCAGGAGCAAAGAGCAGCGUUAACCAUCAAGUGCUCAGCCCAGGAAUACCAGACUGAAGUCUUUUAGUGCAAUUUCUGUUUUUAAAGUGGCAGGGGAGACUUUCCUGGUGCUCCAGUGGUUAAGACUCCACACUUCUAAUGCAGGGGGUGCACAUUUGAUCCUUGGUCAGGGAACUAAGAUCCCACAAGCCACACGCCACAAUGAAAGAGAAGCCUACAGGCUGCAACCAAGAGCCUGUGCACUGCAGUGAAAGCUCCCCCAGGCCACGACUGGGGCCUGACGCAGUCAAAUAUUUUUUUUUCUAAAGUAAAAAAAUUAUGUUGUAUGUCAUCAAAAUAAUAAAGUAUGUCAUCAAAAUAAUAAAGUAACAGGAAGACAA